AGGCAAAAAAAGAAAAUGCCAAAUGAUGUCUUCACUAUGACAAACCUCUUUGUUAUGAGCCUUGCUUGAUGAUAUUUCAGUAUUUGUCUUUCAGAUCAAUGAACAAUUCCACAGGCUCACCGCAAAGCAUCUUGAGGCAAGGUUUAUGCAGGACACCCCUAAGCUGCUGUCCUUAUUCCAUUCCAAGGGAGGAGUACUUUCAGACAGAUUGCGGGUCAUGCUGGAUGGAAGCUGAGGGGGGUCAUUUCCUGCAAGACCUUGAGCAACAUGUAAAUCAAAUCUAUGCGAUCAACAAGGAGGGUGCCGUGGCGAGUGGUGGUCCAGAGGAGCAGGUCAGGAACGGUGUCCUCUACCACAGGCCCGCUUGUUGUUGGUGAAGCCGCCUGGGGCACAGAAUCUGUGCUGGGACCAACCUCUGCCUACCGGGGGAUGGUCACCGAGAGGCGGGGCUCGAGCACAUUGCGGUCUGGGACCCCGUCCCCGAUGGGCCCGUGGCGGUCAUCUAGGCUAAAGAGUUGAUGCCACUGCUGCAGGAGGAGCUGCAAACGAAAC